AGAGAGUGCAAGCGUUAAUCGGAAUUACUGGGCGUAAAGCGCACGUAGGUUGAUGCUAUAGUCGGAUGUGAAAGGCCUGGGCUUAACCUAGGAAUUGCACCCGAUACUGGGCGUCUAGAGUAUAGUAGAGGGAAGUGGAAUUUCCGGUGUAGCGGUGAAAUGCGUAGAUAUCGGAAAGAACACCAGUGGCGAAGGCGACUUCCUGGACUAAUACUGACACUGAGGUGCGAAAGCGUGGGGAGCAAACAGGGAUUAGAGACCCUGGUAGUCCACGCCGUCAACGAUGAGAACUAGACGUUGGAGAGUUUAUCUCUUUAGUGUCGAAGCUAACGCGUUAAGUUCUCCGCCUGGGGAGUACGGCCGCAAGGUUA
rnacentral:rRNA from 1 species